AUACGGAGGAUCCGAGCGUUAUCCGGAUUUAUUGGGUUUAAAGGGAGCGUAGGCGGGAGAUCAAGUCAGCUGUGAAAUGUAGAUGCUCAACAUCUGCACUGCAGUUGAAACUGGUUUUCUUGAGUGCGUAAGGGGCAGGCGGAAUUCGUCGUGUAGCGGGGACAUGCUUAGAUAUGACGAAGAACUCCGAUCGCGAAGGAAGCCUGCCGGGCCGCGACUGACGCUGAAGCUCGAAGGUGCGGGUAUCGAACAGGAUUAGAUACCCUGGUAGUCCGCACAGUAAACGAUGGACACCCACGGUUUGGCCUGUAUGGCUGAGCCGCCAAGCGAAAGCGUUAAGUGUCCCACCUGGGGAGUACGCCGGCAACGGUGAAACUCAAAUGAAUGGACGGGG
rnacentral:rRNA from 1 species